rnacentral:rRNA from 1 species
CCUACGGGUGGCAGCAGUGAGGAAUAUUGGUCAAUGGACGAGAGUCUGAACCAGCCAAGUAGCGUGAAGGAUGACUGCCCUAUGGGUUGUAAACUUCUUUUAUAUGGGAAUAAAAUGUUCCACGUGUGGGAUUUUGUAUGUACCAUAUGAAUAAGGAUCGGCUAACUCCGUGCCAGCAGCCGCGGUAAUACGGAGGAUCCGAGCGUUAUCCGGAUUUAUUGGGUUUAAAGGGAGCGUAGGUGGAUUGUUAAGUCAGUUGUGAAAGUUUGCGGCUCAACCGUAAAAUUGCAGUUGAAACUGGCAGUCUUGAGUACAGUAGAGGUGGGCGGAAUUCGUGGUGUAGCGGUGAAAUGCUUAGAUAUCAUGAAGAACUCCGAUUGCGAAGGCAGUUCACUGGACUGCAACUGACACUGAGGCUCGAAAGUGUGGGUAUCAAACAGGAUUAGAUACCCGUGUAGUC